rnacentral:rRNA from 1 species
CCCCUAGACGUUCUGGGCUGCACGCGCGCUACAAUAAUACGCACAGCGAGUAUCACCGAGCUCGAAAGGGCAAGGUAAACAAUAGAAAAGGUACUGUAAUGGUUAUAGAUCCUUGUAAUUAUUGAUCUUCAACGAGGAAUUCCUAGUAAGCAUGUGUCAUCAUCACGCACUGAUUACGUCCCUGCCCUUUGUACACACCGCCCGUCGCUCCUACCGAUUGGGUGAGCCGAUGAAACUCUCGGAUGUAGGCUAUUCAUAGCCCGCAGAAGAGAUUUGAAUCGUAGCGCUUAGAGGAAGGAGAAGUCGUAACA